rnacentral:misc_RNA from 1 species
GAAAUGCGAUAAGUAAUGCGAAUUGCAGAAUUCAGUGAGUCAUCGAAUCUUUGAACGCACAUUGCGCCCGCCAGCAUUCUGGCGGGCAUGCCUGUUCGAGCGUCAUUUCAACCCAUCAAGCCCGCGGGCUUGCGUUGGGGCCCUGCGGCUGCCGCAGGCCCCGAAAAGCAGUGGCGGGCUCGCUGUCACACCGAGCGCAGUAGCGAUUCUCGCUCCGGGCGUCGGCGGCGGGCACCUGCCGUAAAAUCCCCCCUUACACACAAGGUUGACCUCGGAUCAGGUAGGAAUACCCGCUGAACUUAA